GACAGAGGGUGCAAACGUUGCUCGGAAUUACUGGGCGUAAAGAGCGCGCAGGCGGUCGUUCAAGUCGCGUGUGAAAGCCCCCGGCUCAACUGGGGAGGGUCACGCGAUACUGAUCGACUCGAAGGCAGGAGAGGGAAGUGGAAUUCCCGGUGUAGUGGUGAAAUGCGUAGAUAUCGGGAGGAACACCAGUGGCGAAGGCGACUUCCUGGCCUGUUCUUGACGCUGAGGCGCGAAAGCUAGGGGAGCAAACGGG
rnacentral:rRNA from 1 species